ACGAACGCUGGCGGCGCGCUUCACACAUGCAAGUCGAACGGAAAGGCCUGCUUUCCCUUGUGGAUUGCGGGUACUCGAGUGGCGAACGGGUGAGUAACACGUGAGUGAUCUGCCCCCAACUUGGGUAUAAGCCUGGGAAACUGGGUCUAAUUCCCGAUAGGACUGCAGGGUGGUGCCUGUGGUGGAAAACGAUUUUCUAGUGGUUGGGGAUGAGCUCGCGGCCUAUCAGCUUGUUGGUGGGGUAAUGGCCUACCAAGGCGGCGACGGGUAGCCGGCCUGAGAGGGUGGACGGCCACAUUGGGACUGAGAUACGGCCCAGACUCCUACGGGAGGCAGCAGUGGGGAAUAUUGCACAAUGGGCGGAAGCCUGAUGCAGCGACGCCGCGUGGGGGAUGACGGCCUUCGGGUGGUAAACUCCUUUCGACCGCGAGGAAGCCACCUGGUUGGAAGGGUGGUGACGGUAGUGGUAGAAGAAGCACCGGCUAACUACGUG
rnacentral:rRNA from 1 species